UGCAAGUCGGACGGUAGCACAGAGGAGCUUGCUCCUCGGGUGACGAGUGGCGGACGGGUGAGUAAUGUCUGGGAAACUGCCCGAUGGAGGGGGAUAACUACUGGAAACGGUAGCUAAUACCGCAUAACGUCGCAAGACCAAAGUGGGGGACCUUCGGGCCUCACACCAUCGGAUGUGCCCAGAUGGGAUUAGCUUGUAGGCGGGGUAACGGCCCACCUAGGCGACGAUCCCUAGCUGGUCUGAGAGGAUGACCAGCCACACUGGAACUGAGACACGGUCCAGACUCCUACGGGAGGCAGCAGUGGGGAAUAUUGCACAAUGGGCGCAAGCCUGAUGCAGCCAUGCCGCGUGUAUGAAGAAGGCCUUCGGGUUGUAAAGUACUUUCAGCGGGGAGGAAGGUGUUGAGGUUAAUAACCUCAGCNAUUGACGUUACCCGCAGAAGAAGCACCGGCUAACUCCGUGCCAGCAGCCGCGGUAAUACGGAGGGUGCAAGCGUUAAUCGGAAUUACUGGGCGUANAGCGCACGCAGGCGGUCUGUUAAGUCAGAUGUGAAAUCCCCGGGCUUAACCUGGGAACUGCAUUUGAAACUGGCAGGCUUGAGUCUCGUAGAGGGGGGUAGAAUUCC
rnacentral:rRNA from 1 species